rnacentral:rRNA from 1 species
UACGUAGGGGGCAAGCGUUGUCCGGAAUUAUUGGGCGUAAAGAGCGCGUAGGCGGUCCGAUAAGUCGGCUGUGAAAGUCCAGGGCUCAACCCUGGAAAGCCGGCCGAUACUGUCGGACUAGAGUCCGGAAGAGGCAAGUGGAAUUCCCGGUGUAGCGGUGAAAUGCGCAGAUAUCGGGAGGAACACCAAUUGCGAAGGCAGCUUGCUGGGACGGUACUGACGCUGAGGCGCGAAAGCUAGGGGAGCAAACGGGG